AUUGAACGCUGGCGGCAUGCCUUACACACGCAAGUCGAACGGCAGCACGGGUGCUUGCACCUGGUGGCGAGUGGCGAACGGGUGAGUAAUACGUCGGAACGUACCUUAUCGUGGGGGAUAACGCAGCGAAAGCUGUGCUAAUACCGCAUACGCCCUGAGGGGGAAAGCGGGGGAUCGAAAGACCUCGCGCCAUCAGAUCGGCCGAUGCCUGAUUAGCUUGUUGGUGGGGUAAAAGCCCACCAAGGCGACGAUCAGUAGCUGGUCUGAGAGGACGAUCAGCCACACUGGGACUGAGACACGGCCCAGACUCCUACGGGAGGCAGCAGUGGGGAAUUUUGGACAAUGGGGGCAACCCUGAUCCAGCAAUGCCGCGUGAGUGAAGAAGGCCUUCGGGUUGUAAAGCUCUUUUGUCAGGGAAGAAACACCGGCUCUAACACAGUCCGGGAAUGACGGUACCUGAAGAAUAAGCACCGGCUAACUACGUGCCAGCAGCCGCAGUAA
rnacentral:rRNA from 1 species